UAAUACGGAGGGGACUAGCGUUGUUCGGAAUUACUGGGCGUAAAGCGCACGUAGGCGGAUCGGAAAGUUGGGGGUGAAAUCCCGGGGCUCAACCCCGGAACUGCCUUCAAAACUAUCGGUCUGGAGUUCGAGAGAGGUGAGUGGAAUUCCGAGUGUAGAGGUGAAAUUCGUAGAUAUUCGGAGGAACACCAGUGGCGAAGGCGGCUCACUGGCUCGAUACUGACGCUGAGGUGCGAAAGCGUGGGGAGCAAACAGG
rnacentral:rRNA from 1 species